CCUACGGGAGGCAGCAGUGGGGAAUAUUGGACAAUGGGGGCAACCCUGAUCCAGCAAUGCCGCGUGUGUGAAGAAGGCCUUAGGGUUGUAAAGCACUUUAGGUCGGGAAGAAGGUGUAUAGUUUAAGAGAUGAUACAUUUGACGGUACCGGCAGAAUAAGCACCGGCUAACUCUGUGCCAGCAGCCGCGGUAAUACAGAGGGUGCGAGCGUUAAUCGGAGUUACUGGGCGUAAAGGGCGCGUAGGCGGUUAUAUAAGUUAGAUGUGAAAUCCCUGGACCUAACCUAGGAACUGCAUCUAAGACUGUAUGACUGGAGUACUGUAGAGGGUAGUGGAAUUUCCGGUGUAGCGGUGAAAUGCGUAGAGAUCGGAAGGAACACCAGUGGCGAAGGCGGCUACCUGGACAGAUACUGACGCUGAGGCGCGAAAGCGUGGGGAGCAAACAGGAUUAGAUACCCUGGUAGUCCACGCUGUAAACAAUGAGAACUAGAUGUUGGUAGGCUUGACCUAUUAGUAUCGAAGCUAACGCGAUAAGUUCUCCGCCUGGGGAGUACGGCCGCAAGGCUAAAACUCAAAGGAAUUGACGG
rnacentral:rRNA from 1 species